rnacentral:SRP_RNA from 1 species
GCUGGGAGUAGUGGCGUGCUCCUGUAAUCCAGCUACUUGGAAGCCGGGUGCAGCGGAUGUUUCUUAACAGACCUGUUCCCAA